UAAAAAGUUAUUUUUAAGCGGUUUUCACUUUUCUUCUUUGGUAUUUAACUAAUAAUUGAUAUAUUUAAGUAUUUAACUUAAAAAUUAUGUAGUGGUCACAUCAUUAUUUGAUGUUUAAUGACAAAAACAAUUUUUCUACAAUGGUGAAUUCAACAGUAGUGAAUUUUUUGAUUGAUACGCAGAAUCACCAAAACGGAAGCACAUUUAACCAAUUUCAUUAAAGUUUUUGAGUAUUGAAAAGUAAGGUUAAUUUUUUACUGGGUUGACUGGUCCAAUAUUACCCGAGAUUCCAAGAUAAUUUUUUGCAAAUAUUCUCUCGGUAAAUACAAAUAGUUUGUUGAUUAACAAUCGAGAAGGGUUGUUUGGGUUUAACAACCCGAAAUGCCGACGCUUCAGCAACUCCGCGUCGCGAAAAAUCCAGUGGUCCGACAACAACCGGCGAGUGUUGUUGCUGAACUUCCAUCAUCAUUAUAAAAAUUGCAACUUAUUUAUUUGUCAAGGGAGGAGAGACGUUGAUAACGGGUGCGUCUCGAGAGUCGACUGCUGUUAACGGAUCUGAUAGUGAGGCCUCCAGCCCCCCGUGUUGUU